rfam:Mycoplasmataceae bacterium CE_OT135 Contig_6, whole genome shotgun sequence.
ACCAAACACUGAUGGCAAUUAGUAUUAACUAGUUGAGGAAAGUCCGUACUCGCCCAAGCUGCGACGCUUGGAGUGUUGGUGCUAGAGUUAAUAAUUCUAGGCAGGAACGCAAGUUCUUGACGGCGGACAAAAUACCUAAGUAGGCUUCUCAAAUAGGGUAAUUUAGUUUGUCAUGUUCUCCAACCCUUACCUCCUUUUUGCCUAUAAGGUAUUAGUCUAUAAAAGUGCUAUAGUGACGAAUACUAGGGAAACCUAGGAAAUGAGACGACGUAAACCCCGCCAGCGAGCAAUCCAAAUUAAUUGGUAGGAGCAGCCAAAAAGAAGAAAUGAAUUCUAAUUGGCUAUUCGCAAGAAUAAGAUAAAUCAUCAGUUAAAACAGAAUACGGCUUAUGUUU